rnacentral:rRNA from 1 species
UACGUAGGGUGCAAGCGUUAUCCGGAAUUAUUGGGCGUAAAGAGCUCGUAGGCGGUUUGUCACGUCUGCUGUGAAAACUGGAGGCUCAACCUCCAGCCUGCAGUGGGUACGGGCAGACUAGAGUGCGGUAGGGGAGAUUGGAAUUCCUGGUGUAGCGGUGGAAUGCGCAGAUAUCAGGAGGAACACCGGUGGCGGAAGGCGGA